AUACGUAGGGUGCAAGCGUUAUCCGGAAUUAUUGGGCGUAAAGAGCUCGUAGGCGGUUUGUCACGCCUGGUGUGAAAGUCCAUCGCUUAACGGUGGAUCUGCGCCGGGUACGGGCAGGCUAGAGUGCAGUAGGGGAGAUUGGAAUUCCCGGUGUAACGGUGGAAUGUGUAGAUAUCGGGAAGAACACCAAUGGCGAAGGCAGAUCUCUGGGCUGUUACUGACGCUGAGGAGCGAAAGCAUGGGGAGCGAACAGGAUUAGAUACCCUGGUAGUCCAUGCCGUAAACGGUGGAUGCUGGAUGUGGGGCCCUUCCACGGGUUCCGUGUCGGAGCUAACGCGUUAAGCAUCCCGCCUGGGGAGUACGGCCGCAAGGCUAAA
rnacentral:rRNA from 1 species